rnacentral:rRNA from 1 species
UAGUCAUAUGCUUGUCUCAAAGAUUAAGCCAUGCAUGUCUAAGUACAAGCCUCACUAAGGUGAAACCGCGAAUGGCUCAUUAAACCACACCUAAUCUACUGGAUAGUUAACGGUUACUUGGAUAACUGCGGUAAUUCUGGAGCUAAUACAUGCACAAAGCCCCGAACUUACGUGAGGGGCGCUUUUAUUAGAUCAAGACCAAACGGCUUCGGCUGUAUCCUUGGUGGCUCUGAAUAACUUUGGGCUGAUCGCAUGGCCUAGCGCCGGCGACAUAUCCUUCGAAGGUGUGCCCUAUCAACUGUCGACUGUGGCAUAGACGCCCACAGUGGUUUUGACGGGUAACGGGGAAUCAGGGUUCGAUUCCGGAGAGGGAGCCUUAAAAACGGCUACCACAUCUAAGGAAGGCAGCAGGCACGCAAAUUACCCAAUGACCGAAGGUCGAGGUAGUGACAAAAAAUAACGAUACGGGACUCAUCUGAGGCCCCGUAAUCGGAAUGAGUACACUUUAAAACCGUCCCCGAGGAUCUAGU